CCGCGUGAGGGAUGACGGCCUUCGGGUUGUAAACCUCUUUUAGCAGGGACAAAACGCAAGUGACGGUACCUGCACAAAAAGCACCGGCUAACUACGUGCCAGCUACCUCGGUAAUACGUAGGGUGCAAGCGUUGUCCGGAAUUACUGGGCGUAAAGAGCUCGUAGGCGGUUUGUCGCGUCGUCUGUGAAAACCAGCAGCUCAACUGCUGGCUUGCAGGGGAUACGGGCAGACUUGAGUAUUUCAGGGGAGACUGGAAUUCCUGGUGUAGCGGUGAAAUGCGCAGAUAUCAAGAGGAACACCGGUGGCGAAGGCGGGUCUCUGGGAAAUAACUGACGCUGAGGAGCGAAAGCGUGGGUAGCGAACAGGAUUAGAUACCCUGGUAUUCCACGCCGUAAACGGUGGGCGCUAGGUGUGGGUUUCCUUCCACGGGAUCCGUGCCGCAGCUAACGCAUUAAGCGCCCCGCCUGGGGAGUACGGCCGCAAGGCUAAAACUCAAAGGAAUUGACGGGGGCCCGCACAAGCGGCGGAGCAUGUGGAUUACUUCGAUGCAACGCGAAGAACCUUACCUGGGCCUGACAUACACCGGAA
rnacentral:rRNA from 1 species